UUUCAUCUUCCCCACCUAGGGCUUCCCUCCCUUUUACGGUAUCUACUGAGCAACGCUUGGAACUUGCCGUAAAGCGAAACACCUUACCUGGUGUGUGAUUGUUGAAGAAUGGAUGGGUCUCUGGCCAUUGCACCUGCUGUUGAUUCCACAAACGUCUGUGGGAUGCCUUCCUUGUGCCAGGCACUUCCCUAUGCAAGGAGGAAUAAGAUGAAGCCCAUUCUUGUCCCUGGAAGCGUUCACAGAUGUGGGAGCAAGUCUCAGAGUGUCAGUGAUUUGCCUAAGGUCCUUCCGCUGUUAAAAGGCUUGUCCAUCUACAAAUGAAGCCGAAAUAACCCUUCUUUGAACUGAAUUUCUAAACUUACAUCUGCACUUCAUAAGGGUUACUACAAGAUGCUGAAAAUAGUUCCCUGCGCUAUACAAUAGAAACUUGUUUAUCUAUUUUAUGUAUAUUAGUUAGUAUCUGCAAGUUUCCACUAUUUUAUUUAAAAAUUGUGAAUGAAAAAUAUUACAGGCCGUAUCAGUAAACAAAGAAUGCUGAAGCCAUCAAGUCAUCAGCAGCUGCCGCCACCCCCCAGUGAAGACAAGCCUGCAGCCCGGCCUCUGCAGCCACUCACAGUGGUGCACCCUGAGGGGACUCAGAAUAAGAAAGGACAGGACACUGGCCUAGAUAGCUAGGUGCUUGUCAAAGGAACGAAUUCAAUGAGCCCAAAUGUCUGCUCCCUCCCAUACACAGAAAAACACUAAAUUCUUUAACUUGAGAUGCCUGGUUUUCUUCAGUUAACAAGUGAUCUUUUAAUGUUCCAACAACUACCUGGUCUUUGUUGUAAAGCUCCUGUACAUCCUAGCUCCUCCCUUACCUCUUCGGAGCAGCCCCUCAGGAAGAUCCGAGAGGCUGUCAUUCCAGGCUUGAAGGGGUUCGAGUCCUCAGAAAUGUCUGCCAAAUAAAACAUGACUCUCAUCUUUUAG